CCAGCUGCCGCCACCCCUACCCCCACCUCCCUCCUCAGGAUCGUCCCAGAUCCAAUCCAUCAACCUCCAGCCUCCACCAUCUCCACCUCCCCUCGCUGUUCCCGUCAGGAGCCAGCUCCUCUAUUGACCAGCGAGCCACCGGACUCCAUCAACAGCGUCGUGCGUCUCCCCUGCACCCAAGCAGCAGCUGUUAGAAAGUGGUAGCAGCGCAUGGAGUUUCAGUCAAGCAAGGACCCAAUGCGACCCAACAGCGCCUGGAUCCAGCAGGAACCGGGCCCCGACGAGCCCCUCUGCCCUGUGCUCCUCUCCUCGUUCCCUCUCUCUUAUCUCCUUCCUCUUUUCCCCUGCUCUUCCUCUCUUUUGCAGGAGCAGCAACAGCCAUGGGAGCCUGGUGAGCUCGAGUCCAUCUUGCCGCUGUCGGGAAUCGGCUUCCCUCGGAUGGAUCCAUGACCUAGCGCCUCCAUGGCCCUGUCGGACCUUCACCCCCUCUGCCCACGCCAUCCCCGGCCACCUAGCGACGCCCCAAGCACAGCCACGGCCGAACCGGUUACCAGAGUUCCGCAAGCAUGUCGGAAAAGUGAGGACACGUUCGACUACA